CAGCACCUCAAGUGGUCAGGAUGAUUAUUGGGCCUAAAGCAUCCGUAGCCGGCGCUGUAAGUUUUCGGUUAAAUCUGUACGCUCAACGCACAGGCUGCCGGGAAUACUGCAGCGCUAGGGAGUGGGAGAGGUAGACGGUACUCGGUAGGAAGGGGUAAAAUCCUUUGAUCUAUUGAUGACCACCUGUGGCGAAGGCGGUCUACCAGAACACGUCCGACGGUGAGGGAUGAAAGCUGGGGGAGCAAACCGGAUUAGAGACCCGCGUAGUCC
rnacentral:rRNA from 1 species